AGGAGGAACAGCCCCAGUGGCGGGGCAGCUCUGGAGACCUGGAUUCAGCUCCGGCAGGAACUCCGUCUGCAGGGCCUGGAGGCUCCGGGGCGGG
rfam:Canis lupus familiaris chromosome 16, whole genome shotgun sequence.